rnacentral:rRNA from 1 species
GAUGAACGCUGGCGGCGUGCCUAAUACAUGCAAGUCGAGCGAACAGACGAGGAGCUUGCUCCUCUGACGUUAGCGGCGGACGGGUGAGUAACACGUGGAUAACCUACCUAUAAGACUGGGAUAACUUCGGGAAACCGGAGCUAAUACCGGAUAAUAUAUUGAACCGCAUGGUUCAAUAGUGAAAGACGGUUUUGCUGUCACUUAUAGAUGGAUCCGCGCCGCAUUAGCUAGUUGGUAAGGUAACGGCUUACCAAGGCAACGAUGCGUAGCCGACCUGAGAGGGGGAUCGGCCACACUGGAACUGAGACACGGUCCAGACUCCUACGGGAGGCAGCAGUAGGGAAUCUUCCGCAAUGGGCGAAAGCCUGACGGAGCAACGCCGCGUGAGUGAUGAAGGUCUUCGGAUCGUAAAACUCUGUUAUUAGGGAAGAACAAAUGUGUAAGUAACUAUGCACGUCUUGACGGUACCUGAACAGAAAGCCACGGCUAACUACGUG